GCUUAAAAAAUUAUUUUCAUUUUAUUUUUAAAUUAUUAUUAUUUUUAGUAUUUUAGAAAAACUUUUAUUAAUUAUAUGUUAUAAGUACCGCGAGGGAAUUUAAAUUGAGUUUUUAUAAGAAAAAUUUAUUUUUUGUACCUUGUGUAUCAGGGUUUAUUUAUUAUGAAUUAAUUAUUUAGUAAUCCCGAAUCUAAAAGAGUGAAGAGAUAAUAUAUGUUUUUGUUGAAUAAAAAUUUAUAAUUAUUUUUUGGUAAUGAAAUGUUAUUCGUUUUUAGAGAUAUCUGGUUUUUUGAGAAUAAAAUUUAAUUUUUUAGUUAUUUAUUUUUCUGGUUAGUAUUAACCAAUUAUUUAUUAACUUUUAACUUUUUUAGGGAUAAGCUUAACUAAGUAUUGUUUAUAAACUUUGGAUUUAAUUUUAAAUUAUAGGAUUAAUAGUUUCCUCUUAGAGUGUAUUAUUACUCUUUAAAAUUAAUCUUUAAUUUAUUUGAUUUUAAAUUUUCUAUCAAAAUUAUUUAUUUAAUUUAUUGUUUAUGAAAAAUUGAUAUAAUUAGUAAUUUUUAUUGUAUUUAUAUUUAUAUUUUUUAAUUUUUAAUAAGGAACUCGGCAAACUUGUUUUUCGCCUGUUUAUUAAAAACAUGUCCUUUUGAUUAUAAUUUCAGGUCUGACCUGCCCCAUGAAAAUUUAAAUGGCCGCGAUAACUUGAUCGUGCGAAGGUAGCAUAAUCAUUAGCUUUUUAAUUAGAAGCUUGUAUGAAGGGUUGGACGAGAUAACUACUGUCUCAUUAAGAAAAAUUGAAUUUUAUUUUUAAGUUAAAAAGCUUAAAUAUUUUAAAAAGACGAGAAGACCCUAUAGAGUUUAGAUAUUUAAAAUUAUUGAUUUUUUUAGAAUUAAUUUUUUCAAUUAUUUGAUAAUAUUUUGUUGGGGUGACAGAAAGAUUGGAAUAACUCUUUUUAUUUUUUAUACUUAUUUGUAGACUUAUGACUUGCUUUGCAUUUAAAAGAAAAAUUACCUUAGGGAUAACAGCGUUAUUUGUUUGGAGAGUUCAAAUCGAUAAACAAGAUUGCGACCUCGAUGUUGGAUUAAAGAUAGUUUUUGGUGUAGAAGUUAAAUUACUUAGUCUGUUCGACUAUUAAAUCUUUACAUGAUCUGAGUUUAAACCGGUGUAAGCCAGGUUGGUUUCUAUCUUUUAUAAUAUAAAAUUUUUUAGUACGAAAGGACCAAAUAUUUCUUAGAUUAGGUUUUAAUUGAAUAAUAUU
rnacentral:rRNA from 1 species